rnacentral:rRNA from 1 species
AUUGAACGCUGGCGGCAGGCCUAACACAUGCAAGUCGAGCGAGCGGCGGACGGGUGAGUAAUGUCUGGGAAACUGCCUGAUGGAGGGGGAUAACUACUGGAAACGGUAGCUAAUACCGCAUACCAUCAGAUGUGCCCAGAUGGGAUUAGCUAGUAGGUGGGGUAAUGGCUCACCUGGGCGACGAUCCCUAGCUGGUCUGAGAGGAUGACCAGACAAACGCGAACUGAGACAAGGUCCAGACUCCUACGUGAGGUAGCAUUGGGGAAUAUUGCACAAUGGGCGCAAGCCUGAUGCAGCCAUGCCGCGUGGAUGAAGAAGGCCUUCGGGUUGUAAAGUACUUUCAGCGGGGAGGCGGUACUCGCAGAAGAAGCACCGGCUAACUCCGUGCCAGCAGCCGCGGUAAUUC